AUGAUAAUCUAUCUUAAAAGCAUUUUUAUUUAAUAAAAUACAGAGUCAGCUCAAGCAAGCACAUGCAAUGAGAGACAAAAGGAUUGGUGUUAUUUAAAACUUGAGCACAGGAAGAUCUGAAGAGGAUACUGAGUGAAAUUCAAUCCAGUAAAGUUGAUACAUUCUUGGCAGCUAUUUAAGAUCCUCCAGGUUGAAUGCUAUGAGAAGGGUGAUGGAUCAUUUCUAAGCUUCCAGAAACCUCAGCUCAGAUCUUCAGACUGAAUCUGGAAAAAUGAUUACCUGAAUGUCCUCCAAAACAACACAGGGCCUCUGCUGAAAUUCUUUUCUUUUAUUAUUUAUAGAUGGGAAACAAUAUCUGCUAGUAUCAAAAUGUAAAUCAGUUUAUAACCAUACAGAGUUGGAGGACAAACACGUUUUGAAGAUCCUGGACUGGGGAGACUUGGAGUCAACUGUAAGAUCUCUGCUUUAUGAGACUGCAAGACAUCACCAUUUACAGAAGGAGGCUACUGUCAUCAUUUGGAGAGUAUAACAGAAAAUGCAUCCCAAAUAGAGACAGAAUGGCUUUUCGGCCUGGCAGAGCCCUGGCUCACACUGUUUCAGUGGCGAACAUCCAGGGUGAUAAUCCCUGCAAGCAAUCGCUUAGCUGGUGCUGAUCCUCCAGCAGGCUGUUGGAGCAAAGGUUAUCAGGGAGCACUGUCACUGCUGGAGCUGUGUAUGGCAUGUUCUAUGCUGAGUUUCUCAUGUCAAGUGAAGCAGGUGAUUGAAUUCACCAGGCUGUCUUCAGACCAAUUUUUCUGCCGCAUUAAAGUGACAUUCACUGUAAUGAAAUGUUGGUCUUCGCUGAGAACACUGAAUGGUGCAGUCUGAUAUCCAAGCUGCUUUACAGUACAUGCAGAGCAUGUACUUUUUCUUUUUUUAAUUCUUAUUCCUAGCAUGGUUGUUUAUGUGGGGUUAAUUUUCCACUUGGUCUUUUUUCAGCACAGUUUCACCUAUGGAGCUGAAAAGACACAAGCAUUUAUCUUUUUAGAUACUGGGCGAUAAAAAUAACAUAGGAAUAUCAAAUCUCAUUAGGUUUCUGAUACCAACAGCUAUACCAAGGAACAAAUCCACUUUCUCUUCCCACAAAAGCUCUGUACGUAUGCAAUCACUUAUUACAUCAUUCCUGAUACAAUUUAAAUAAUAGUUCACUUUCUUUUCCCAAGUUUUGAACUUUCAUCUUUUAAAUCUGCUUCCUACAGUAAAGUAUACUAGCUGUAUACAUGAUUUUACUGUGAAAUAUUAAACUGGAAAAAAAAUUUUGAAAUAUACAAAUAUUUUCCUUAAUAUCCACUCCUAAUUCAAAAUCAGGCUCAUCUCGAAUCAAUUUUAUUUAUAUCUUUGUAGUUAGUCCCAAAGGGCUUUUUGCAACCUAAUUUUUCUUUGAUUUAUUGAUCGUUUUACAAAACUGGAGAUGUUUGGUUGUUCAUCCAAGCUAGCUUGGAUGUAGAGUUCAUAAAUUUGUGAGCUCUAUUGUCACACAAACA
rnacentral:lncRNA from 1 species